CGACGGACGCGCGCUUUUCAAACGGUCGCAGUCACUAUCAUCUCCUCACACAGUGGAAACGGUGGAGCCGGCUGGUCGGUGAAGACGGAACACGUUUACAGCUCGUUCUAGUGCAACUGGUCUGUUUUGGAGUUCAUCAUCUUCAUCUUCUCAAUUUAUCUUUUACAACCAAACUGACGAUCCGACGGUUUCUGCACGCAUCUCAGCCUGCCUAGCCGACAUCUCGCUCUGGAUGAAUGACCAUCACCUGCAGCUGAACCUUUCAAAAACAGAACUGCUUGUAAUCCCAGCCGAUACAAAGACUCAUCACAACCUCUCCAUUCAUCUGGGCUCAUCAACCAUCUCAUCUUCCAGAAAUGCAAGAAACCUGGGAGUGGUGAUCGAUUAUCAGAACAACUUCACGGAUCAAGCUGCCAGCACUGCCCGGUCCUGUAAAUUCAUCCUCUACAAUAUCAGGAAAAUUAGACCCUUCCUAUCAGAGCAUGCUAGGCAAGUCCUAGUACAGGCUCUGGUCCUGUCCAGACUGGACUACUGCAAUGCGCUACUGGGUGGACUUCCAGCUUGCACAACCAAACCUCUACAGAUGAUCCAGAAUGCUGCGGCAAGAAUUAUCUUUAAUGAACCGAAGAGAGCACAUGUCACUCCUCUGUAUAUUGGCUCCCUAUAGUUGCUCGCAUCAAAUUCAAGACUCUGCUCCUGGCCUACAAGACCACCACUGGUUCGGCACCACCUUAUCUUCACUCGCUACUGCAGACAUACAGUAUGUACCUGCCAGAUCCCUAUGCUCUGCAAACGAACGGUGCCUUGUGGUGCCAUCCCAAAAAGGUACAAAAUCUCUCUUGUGCAUCUUCCCUGGAUCUGUUCCACCUAUGUGGAAUGAUCUAUCCGCUGCUACAAGAUCUGCAGAUUCUGUAGCCAUCUUUAAGAAACGUCUGAAAACACAUCUCUUCCGUCAACAUCUGACUGAUCUGUUCUGACUCUAAAAACCCUCAAGUUGUUACAAACCUGUAUGAAAUUCUUUGUUCUGUUUAACACAAAAUAAUAUAUUUUGAAGAGUGUGAAAAGUUCUGGGGCACCAUUGACUUCCAUAGUAUUUUUUACCUACUAUGGAAGUCAAUGGUGCCCCAAAGCAAACUGGUGUAACGGUCACCAGGUCACUCAACUUCAGCCCUACACUUCCAAUAAUCCUCUGGGCCUACCCUCGGCACACAUUCUUCCAUACAUUCUACAUAUUGAAUCGGCCCAAUAAAACUCACAGUCGAUAGUCGGCUUGGUAUGUCCCGGGUUUAAGAUUCCACUAUCAGAUGGUCCCAUUAAGCACUUGGGGCAAAUCUUAACAGAUAUAUUAUUAGUUUUAGUUUUCCCAAAACUGUCAAUAUCUUGCUGUUAUACACACAAAAUAUUAAAUAUGUAGCACAAGGGUUAAACAGGUUACUUGGUCAUCGAAGUCUUAAGACUAAAUAUUUUUUAUAACACAACAUUUAUUUUGUAAAUUAUUUUACCAGUGUUAAUUAUAAGAAAUGACAGGAUUUUUUUUUACAUUUCAGAUUUCCUCCCUGGCAACUAUUGGGGGCCAUGACACAAAACGUGUCACAUGGAACAUCCUUUCACACAUGUUCCAUGAUGAUGUUGGGAGGAGGAUCAACUGGAAGGGCAUGAAUGGUAAAAAAUCUUAAAAUCAGAUGGAGUCUAGGAAGUUCCUCCUGUGUAAGUAAAUGUAAUGAAAUUUGCCUGGUUUAAAAAUAUAAGCACAAAACAUUUUUGGGUUAAAAAUGUAUCUAACGAUACAUCAUGUAUCAUUCUUGCGAAGUUUGUUUUUGUCUAAUCCUGAAUCAAUCAAAUACACCUAGGGUUUACAUUCAGACUAUUUUUGACAGUCAACCGCUGUUGAGUAGCCCAGUACCUGAAUGACUCGUCAUAGACAAAGAGAAGUGUCAGAUAUCACACUUUUGUUUUAAAAACAUUGGUUGUGUGUAUCCUUACAGGAAAACACCACCGUUUUUACAUAUGCCAUUAUGCUCUUACCUCAACCUAAAAGAGUUGAUACAUAUCUGUCCCGUCUCAGUGGGUGCACUUAAUCGCUGCAGGGUGCCACUAUGUUAGCGUUUAGCUUAGAACCAUUCGUUCAAUUCAUUCAUUAGGAUCCAAACAGGGAUGAUUUAAGAAGCCACCAAACACUUCAUAGCGAUUAAGUGCACUCACUGAGAUGGGACAGAUACAUAUCAACUUGUCUAGCUUGAGGUAAGACAUAUGUUAAACGGUGGUGUUUUCUUUAAAAAAAAAUGGUAGCGCCUUUGUGAUUUCAUGAACUGGUCUAAUAAUAAUUCUGCUGGUGUAUUACAGGUGCUGUGAGAAAGAACCAUGUCUCCCGUGCCGCCACUGAUGAUGACACCACAAUACAUGUGAUACGGUGGUUCAACCUAGCAGCAGACAGGGGAGCAGACCCAGUGUCAGGACCCAAAAGUUGUGUUUUACUGUUUAACUUUAACUUGUGUGUUCAGUGUUCGUUUACCAGUUAAGAUAAAGACAAGUUUACUACUUUAAAAAGUAUUUUUUUAAGUUUAUAUUGAUCAAUAUUUUAAAAACCCAGUUUACACAAAAAAAAUA